GACGAACGCUGGCGGCGUGCUUAACACAUGCAAGUCGAACGAAGAGCGAUGGAAGCUUGCUUCUAUCAAUCUUAGUGGCGAACGGGUGAGUAACGCGUAAUCAACCUGCCCUUCAGAGGGGGACAACAGUUGGAAACGACUGCUAAUACCGCAUACGAUCUAAACUCGGCAUCGAGGAUAGAUGAAAGGUGGCCUCUACAUGUAAGCUAUCACUGAAGGAGGGGAUUGCGUCUGAUUAGCUAGUUGGAGGGGUAACGGCCCACCAAGGCGAUGAUCAGUAGCCGGUCGGAGAGGAUGAACGGCCACAUUGGGACUGAGACACGGCCCAGACUCCUACGGGAGGCAGCAGUGGGGAAUCGUCCGCAAGGGACGAAAGUCUGACGGAGCAACGCCGCGUGAGGGAUGACGGCCGUCGGGUUGUAAAGCUCGGUUAAUCGGGACGAAAGGCCUUCUUGCGAAUAGUGAGAAGGAUUGACGGUACCGGAAUAGAAAGCCACGGCUAACUACGUG
rnacentral:rRNA from 1 species